CUUCAUCAUUAUUAUACGUAGUAAAUUAAAAAGUAGAAAUCAUUUUAGGCUUUUUGUAGAAUCCAAAAUCCAAAAGAUAAAAAAUACCACAAGGAAUCAACUGAGGAAUCUUCAAUGUAGUAUCUAGAAACUCUAAAUUUGAAAAAAACAAAUUAAUUAAUUUCUUACCAUCAUCAUAAAUUAUAAUCCAAACAAUUUUACAAAUCUCCACUCUCGAAUAAAACCCAGCUCAAUUUUUUAUUUAUACUUUUUCAUUUUUGUAAUUUUUGUUGUUUGUAGUGGAGUUAAUCGGGUUGCGGAUCUGUCAUGAAAGAUACUGUCAAAAGAUAUCUUUUUCAAUCCUUCUUACCGUAUAUCCCCCGGUCCCAAAAAGCUAUUCAAUUUCACCCUUUUUUCAUCUCAAAUUCUCAGAAAAAGUAGAGGAAUUAAGGGUAUAUAAAAGGGUAUUUUUUUUUUUUUUUUAAUUUUGUAUUUUUGGGUGUUAUUUAUUUAUUUUUUUUUAUUUUUUUAUUUUACAAUUUGAGUGAUUUGGUUCGAAUAUAUAUAGUGGGAGAAAAAGGGGGAGCAAGAAUGUUGGAAUUGAGAGAUUACACUUGCUUUCCACCUUUAAUUGUUGUUGUUUAUGCUACCCUUGCUUGUGUUGAUGCGGCUAUUGCUGUGAUUGCAUUUUUUCAGUUGGUGAGGAUCCACUCUAGAAGUGCGCAACUUGGUUGGACCCGGCAAAAGGUCUUUCAUCUCAUGAUUGGUCUUUGCAAUUUGGGGUAUGUUGUUUUCUUUGUAUUAACUCUCAUCGCUACUUGCAAAGGAUGGUCUUGCUGGUCAAGCUCCUGCGGCUUUGUGUUCAUGGCCUUCCCUAAGAUCCUUUUAUUUGCAGCAUUUCUUCUGCUUCUGUCAUACUGGGUGGAUCUUUGCCACCAGGCUGAUGAUGAAGAGGAUGAUGGAGACAGUAGUUCUUGUGAAGCUUUGUUGGAUAAGACCAACAGUAAGCCACCUUUAUCAAACAUUGAUGGUAACAAAAAUUGUCUACCUGUUCCAUCACUUCAUGUUGGAAGCCGCCAAAGAUUUGUUAUUUUGACUAUGGUUGUAGUUCUUGUUCUAAUGACUGCCUUUGCCGUGCUAAUUUGGAUUGGGAUGGGAAGGAAUCCGAUUGAUUCAUCAACUGUUGCUCGGGUCUAUGUGGAUAUUUUUGCAGUCGGCAUAUUUUUGUUGGGAGGGGCAUUGGCAUGUUACGGACUUCUUAUAUAUUUGAAAAUGAGCAAGGUAAGAUCUGAAGGCGCUUCAUCUGAGAUGUGGAAGGUCACCGGUCUUGCCGUUGUUUCUCUUGUGUGUUUCACAACAAGUGCUCUUAUAGCUCUUCUUACUGAUGUUCCGGUUCUUUAUUGUUGGCGCCAAGAGCACAUUAGUGUGUAUUGUACUGGUAUCUUAUUGAUGUUGUAUUAUUUUAUAGCUCUUGCAUGCAGGUUCAUCAACACCCGCAGCCUUUGUAUUGUGGGUCAUGAGAGAGCUACCACCUUCUAGGGUAGCCGAUAGAGACGAAGAAUCAACAAUAGUAACCUUCAUUAGUGAUGGGUCAACAGGAGUAGAUAAUCCUCAACGCUGGACUGCUGUAACAAGCUUGCAAAAUCAGGGUUCUAAAGCAAGUCCCAUCUAAUGUAGUGGUCUGAAACAUACCUGGAUGAAAUUUCUUGGUCAGAAUAUUGCUAUUAUCAUGCAAAAGGUUGGGCAAUUUGACAUUUUGAGUUUUGCAAGAAACUGGUUUAUCGUAUCGUGUGGUGCUUACUUGACAACCAGAGUCAUACCCCUGUAAUUCAAUUGUUUUCUUUGAAUUAUCUGUACAUAGUAGAUCCACCCCUCUUCCAAUCCUGAAAGGGAUGGUUGGAGGACGCUGGAAGGUAGCCAACCUCUUUCCUGACAUAGAAAAAUGGGAAAUUUUGUAGCUCAGCUCGGUGAAAUCUGUCACUAUGGCGAGUAUAAUCAUAGUUUACAUGCAUCUAUAAAGAAUUGUCACAUUGUUCUAACCCCUUAAAUAGUGAAAUUAAAGAUAAUUAUAAUUUUUGUAAGAUAUACUUUGUAACAGUUCACUUUCCCAUUUUUUCUCAUUUCUUUUAAGUGAAGGUUUGUUAUGAUAUCCAA